GACGAACGCUGGCGGCGUGCUUAACACAUGCAAGUCGAACGGAAAGGCCUGCUUUCCCUUGUGGAUUGCGGGUACUCGCGUGGCGAACGGGUGAGUAACACGUGAGUGAUCUGCCCCCAACUUGGGUAUAAGCCUGGGAAACUGGGUCUAAUUCCCGAUAGGACUGCAGGGUGGUGCCUGUGGUGGAAAACGAUUUUCUAGUGGUUGGGGAUGAGCUCGCGGCCUAUCAGCUUGUUGGUGGGGUAAUGGCCUACCAAGGCGGCGACGGGUAGCCGGCCUGGGAGGGUGGACGGCCACAUUGGGACUGAGAUACGGCCCAGACUCCUACGGGAGGCAGCAGUGGGGAAGAUUGCACAAUGGGCGGAAGCCUGAUGCAGCGACGCCGCGGGGGGGAUGACGGCCUUCGGGUUGUAAACUCCUUUCGACCGCGAGGAAGCCACCUGGUUGGAAGGGUGGUGACGGUAGUGGUAGAAGAAGCACCGGCUAACUACGUG
rnacentral:rRNA from 1 species